rnacentral:rRNA from 1 species
UACGUAGGCCUCAAGCGUUAUCCGGAAUUACUGGGCGUAAAGUGCGCGUAGGCGUUUUUGUAAGUCGGUCGUUAAAUCUCAGGGCUUAACCCUGAGACCGCGAGCGAUACUACAAGAAUUGAGUUUUGCAGGGGCUAGCAGAAUUUCUGGAGUAGGGGUGAAAUCCGUUGAUACCAGAAGGAAUACCAAUGGCGAAGGCGGCUAGCUAGGCAAUAACUGGCGCUGAGUGCGCGAAAGCGUGGGGAGCAAACGGG